rnacentral:lncRNA from 10 species
ACCACAAGGCGCACUCGUUAUUAGAGGCCAGAGAGGGACAGAUGCUUGGUGGGAAUUGUAGUGCGAAGCCAAGAGGCUCCCCCCUCCCCCCCUUCCCCCCUGCCCCAAGUGCUUAGACCGAAGGCGGCGCUGCGCCACCGGGGGACGCCCUGGGCUCAUUUCUCUGACAGUCCUUCUACUAGCUUCAUUUUCCUUGUCAACAAAAUGGGGAUAAUCACAUCUACCUUGGAAUUGUUAUGAGGAUCACAUGGAGAAACACAAGUGAAAUGCUCUGUAGAUAUAAAGCAUGUAUCAACGAUG